CAAGUUUCUCAAUGUAUUUAAUUGAUCUGAUCAAAUGGUAAAGUUUAAAAAAAACAAUGCAUGACCAAAAUGUUUCCAGAAUAUUUCAAUCCAUUCACACAUUGACAAGCUUGGGCCCUGUCUGACUUGCAGCUAAUACUAGGGCACAUCAUUCAACUUAUUGUUACACUCAAUAGAUCUCCCCUAGUUUCCCAAUGGCAGUUGAAUUCGGAUAUCAAUAAAAAUGUAUUCCAAACAAAAAAAAAGGGGGGGGGGG